rnacentral:rRNA from 1 species
CGCGGUUAGACUUGAAACUAUAAAUUAAGGUUAUUAGCAGUUAAUUUUAGUAUUUAAAUAACGAAAAAUAUAGAGGUAAAAUUCAAGCUUUAAUUCUUUAAUUAUUAAGAUAAUGAAGCUGUUAAGUUUAAGAUUUAAAUCGGGAUUAGAUACCCCGUUAUACUUAAAUAUAUAAAUAUAAGGGUAUUAAAAGUUAUGUUCUCUAAACCCAAAGGAUUUGGCGGUUUUUAAACUAACUAGAGGAGGCUGCUCCGUAAUCGUAAAUACGCGUUAAAUUUUACCUUAAAUCAUACUCAUAUACCGUCAUCUUAAUAUAAUUUUAAGGUUAUAUUUAAAUUGAUUGCAAUAAAUAUGUUAGAUCAAGGUGUGGUUAUAUUAAGGGGAGGGUGGCCUACAAUUUAUAAAUUAGUGGAAGUUUAUUAAAAUAAAGCGAAAAAUGGAUUUAGUAGUAAUAUGUAUCUAAAUAUGAUACUAGGAAUAGGCUCUUAAAAAUGUACAUAUCGCCCGUCACUCUCAUAGUUGAGAUAAGUCGU